rnacentral:lncRNA from 1 species
GUACAGCCUCAAGUAUAUCAAGAUCAAUGAAUCAAAGAAAUGUCUUUAAGAAACUAAGAGAAAUUAAGUUUCUUUCUGAUGAAGCUCUUAAAUUAAAGGAGGACAUCAAAACAGUUGAAUAUUUUAAUGAAAUUUUAAGUGACAGUCUUCAAAGUGCACGUGUUACCUUGCAAUCUGAGAGAGAGAAGAAUGUCAAGAAUAAGGACUUGGUAAGAGUUGACUGCUGAUUUUUACUGUAAUUUGGCUUUGGAGGCUUUUUGUUCAUUGGGUGAGGUGAGCACAGUAUGUUCACUUGCUGUUUACCACAGUAGAGAUUGGGCCUCUGGGAGCCAAAUCUCCAUCUGCAAUGUGAGCUGGAAUUUCACUAGGACCACCAUGAGGAGUUUUGCUAUUUCAAGGACUAAGAAGUACCUUGUGUUUUCACAACUAGGUAAUUAUCACAUCAUUUCAGCUCUGCCCUCCAAGAUAUGAAGAAAAUUCUAGAAGAUAUUUGAGAGAUGAAGGGUGAUUACUAGCCAAAUUGUAUAGUCCCUUCCUGUCUUAAUGCUGAACAGAUAAUUUUCAAUGUGAAUAGGGAAGGAGAUAUCUAUUAUCUAUCUAUCUAUUGAUAUACAUUCCACUAAGAAAGCCAUUUGUGAGCUCUUUGAUUUAAACUAUUUUCUACCAAGUUGGCUUUCUCCUUGUUAUAUAUAUGCCUCAGGAUCUUUCUCUGUUGCAGUGUACAAUCAUGUUGUGUUAGGUGCAUUCACAUUGUUUGUGAUCAUUAUUUCUUGAAUGUCUUUUCUCAUAUCUGUCUUAAAGUCACAAGAUGGAAAUGGUGAAUUCGAGGAUUGAGAGCUGAGAACCUUGAGGUCCAAUAACUGUGAACUGGAAGGUAUGCUGUCUGUUGGGGAGAAAUCCCCAUAUGAGUACCUGACUUUGCAUUGGGAAGGGAAAGAAUGCCUUCUUGUCUUCAUGGUUCUUGCCCUUUUCCUGUCACACCAAAGCCAACUCUCAGGUCAUGUGCACACUUAUAAAGAAAAUCCAUUUUUUACAGAAAACAAAAAGGCCUUAGAAGACAAGUGUAAUGCAUUGAGGUCUGUGAAAGCAAUCAAGGAAGCAAAAGUCAAACAGCUGAAGGAGAAAGCACAUAUCCUUGAAGAAUUCUAUAAACAAAGAAGAGUGGCUGCAGAAGAGAAACUGAAAAUGGCACAAUGUGAACUGGUGGCAAUUGAGAAUCAACUUGAAGCUACGGAGGAAAAUUUGAAAAUAGCUGACGAGGAAAUAUACAAGUACAAGCAGCAAAUUGAACAAACACAAGAACAGCUGCAGCAGGCAGAGCUCACCUUCAGACACCAGGUAAUCUGA